CAGAAAGGUAUAUUUAAAUACCCUUUUAAUUCCAUUAUAGAUCAUUUCCCAAAAGGCCUUGAUCUUACGUCUCACGCCUUCGGCCGUCUCUUAGUCCCCACACGAUCCCAGGAGCGCGACGUGGAAGUGUGUGGACACCCGCAAAGCAUCAGCUCCGCUUGUCUUUCUGCCGGCCUCUGCGAUUCCUCAGCAGCAGAAGCACCUGCACCAAGGCAGCCGCAAGAUGUGCAACUUCUGCCCAUCUGCCACUGAAGCACACAGCAAAACAGUAUGAACGUAUGACAUAGAUAAAAUUCAGCUUUCGCUUUCAGUCAACUCAGCACAAACAGAGAUGGAGAAUUGCAAACAACAUAAAGGUUAUAAGCAACCUCAGAGCUAUUAAACAUUUUUCAAGUGCUGAGAUGAAAUCCUCCCCGGAGAACUUACAGCUGUAAUAUGUGGGAAAGAAAACUGGCAUCUCCAAAAUUGGGGGCACUGGAAGGAGGCUGCCAUCGCCCCCCCCGCCAGGUAUGCUCUGGGAUGGCUCUGCAGCAAGAGAAGGCCCUGAGGAAGCCAGCACAUCACCCAGGAGAAAACGGCCUACAAUUGCUGAAGAGACAACAGAAAAUCUGCAGCCCGGCAGCCCCUUGCUCCAAACCUUCAAAGCAAAUUGCACUGCUCUCGUUACUUCUAGAAACAUAAAACAUCGGUUCCUAGUGAAGUAGUCCCAGGUGAAACACAUGUUAUUCCUGAAUAAGACUAUAUUAAGACUACUCUCUAAGCUUCUCAUUACAGAUUUGAAUCAAUGUAUUAUCAGACUUCAGGUUAACCCAAAGUUCUCUUUGAGAUCAAAUGCAUGUGACCUGUAACUAACCCAAGAAAUAAGACUUAUUCCCAUAUACAGAUGUCUGUGCCACUUGUAGAAACUUGCCUCAAGUGCCUGUGAUGUGCUGCUGGGAUGCCCGCCUCCUCAAUUUUAUUUAUUCAUCAUGAAAGGCAUCCUUGUUUCAUUACAUGUUGCAGACUUCAUUCAUUAUAAAUCAGAAUAAAACCUCAAUUGAAUGCACUUAUCCCCAGCAGGGGAUCACAUUUCUGGAGAAUCUGAUCUUCUAUGACUAAAAGCUGACAAAUCAUUGGAGUAUAAUUCCUCAUUUAUGCAAUAACUGUAAUCCUCUAAAAAUUUGUGCUGAUUAAAUAGCACAUGCAACAGAUUCAGACUGUGAGCAACCAGAACAGCCCCUGCACAAAGGAGGAACUACAAAGUGGAUUUACAACUGCAAAGUGGAUUUACUACAAGAAGGAGCAGCAACCAUUUUCUAGACUUUGAACUAACAAGUAGCUGCUUCUAAAUAAAAGAAUUAAAUGUGGAAUGUAGAACUUUUAUUUGAUCCUCUGGGCUUGGUUAUGAACCUUAAACAUCUUUCCCCACCCUUGCCCACAUUAAAAUGAUUCUGACCGUUUCAUUCUGAAGUUCAUUCCUUUUCAUGACUGUUUAGCACAAUCAUUUCUGGAGCAUCCUUGAGAAACUGAAUAGGGCUUGUGUCAAUCUGAAAGGGGGACGGGGAAGAGUCUCCAUCUUUUGAAAAAUAAAACCUGUAGUGUUCCUGUCAUGCUCCUUGGUGCCCCCCCCUCCGACUAGUGGGUGAGGGACACAGAGAGCAUUCUCAGCACACCCAGAGCAGGCAAGCCAAGAGCAGGCAUGCAGCGUUGCCAUCUGAUUUGGAUUUUACUUCUGAUCCUGAUCUGAUUUGAGGAUGUAUUUUAAUUGAUUGCCUGAUUUUAUGUUAAUGUGUUAUACAUUUGAUGUUA